rnacentral:rRNA from 1 species
AACGAACGCUGGCGGCAUGCCUAACACAUGCAAGUCGAACGAGACCUUCGGGUCUAGUGGCGCAAGGGUGCGUAACGCGUGGGAACCUGCCCUUAGGUUCGGAAUAACUCCCCGAAAGGGGUGCUAAUACCGGAUAAUGUCUUCGGACCAAAGAUUUAUCGCCUUUGGAUGGGCCCGCGUUGGAUUAGCUAGUUGGUAGGGUAAAAGCCUACCAAGGCGACGAUCCAUAGCUGGUCUGAGAGGAUGAUCAGCCACACUGGGACUGAGACACGGCCCAGACUCCUACGGGAGGCAGCAGUGGGGAAUAAUGGACAAUGGGCGAAAGCCUGAUCCAGCAAUGCCGCGUGAGAGAUAAAGGCCUUAGGGUUGUAAAGCUCUUUUACCCGGGAUGAUAAUGACAGUACCGGGAGAAUAAGCUCCGGCUAACUCCGUG